UCCAGGACCCCCGCCCCCCGCCAGCCGGGGCCACGUCUCCGCUCAGACGUUAGCACCGAGGAGGAGAAACGACCCUUCUGGGGAAACUGGGUCAUACAACAGGCUAAUGACGCCGAAAAAGAAGUGACACUGAAGAAUUUUGACUUUUAAGAAAACCAGAUAAUGCAGGCUGAGAAACUCCAGUAAGCUUGAGAAUUCAAGACUUUCAACUCCUCUGCUCUGGUGAGGAUUAACUACCGCAUCAGUCAUGGAGCCCUCUGGACAGACAAGUUCUCCAAAGAGAGAGACCCUCAUCGGUGCCUUUAAAAAAGUGACCAGCUUUAACAAUUUUUACCCAUUUUUAGAAAUAGUUGUUAAAAACACAUCAAACUC